UACGGAGGGUGCGAGCGUUGUCCGGAUUUAUUGGGUUUAAAGGGUGCGUAGGUGGCUUUAUAAGUCAGUGGUGAAAUACAGCCGCUCAACGGUUGAGGUGCCAUUGAUACUGUAGAGCUUGAAACAAUUGGAGGCUGCCGGAAUGGAUGGUGUAGCGGUGAAAUGCAUAGAUAUCAUCCAGAACACCGAUUGCGAAGGCAGGUGGCUACGUUUGAUUUGACACUGAGGCACGAAAGCAUGGGGAGCAAAC
rnacentral:rRNA from 1 species